AACGAACGCUAUCGGUAUGCUUAACACAUGCAAGUCGGACGGACUAAUUAGGGCUUGCUCCGAUUAGUUAGUGGCAGACGGGUGAGUAACACGUGGGAAUCUGCCCAUCAGUACGGAAUAACUUUUAGAAAUAAAAGCUAAUACCGUAUAUUCUCUACAGAGGAAAGAUUUAUCGCUGAUGGAUGAGCCCGCGUCAGAUUAGGUAGUUGGUGAGGUAACGGCUCACCAAGCCGACGAUCUGUAGCUGGUCUGAGAGGAUGAUCAGCCACACUGGGACUGAGACACGGCCCAGACUCCUACGGGAGGCAGCAGUGGGGAAUAUUGGACAAUGGGCGAAAGCCUGAUCCAGCAAUACCGAGUGAGUGAUAAAGGCCCUAGGGUUGUAAAGCUCUUUUAGCAAGGAAGAUAAUGACGUUACUUGCAGAAAAAGCCCCGGCUAACUCCGUG
rnacentral:rRNA from 1 species